UUGUAAGGACGAUAUGACACCCUUUUACGCAAUUAAGAACGUGUAUAAUUUGAUGUUAUCCAGAAAACGCUGUUAAUUCAAGCAAAAACUCGACGUGGGCACGCCGCAGAGGUAUAACAUGAAUUUGAUGCUCUUUGUGUUUUCGUGUUUUCUGACUUUAAAGUCUAUCCAAGGACAUUAUUGGACCGCUUGGUAUGA